rnacentral:rRNA from 1 species
UACAGAGACUGCAAGCGUUAUUCGGAUUCACUGGGCGUAAAGGGUGCGCAGGCGGUUGGGUGUGUCAGAUGUGAAAUCCCGAGGCUUAACCUCGGAACUGCGUCUGAAACUACUCGACUAGAGUAUUGGAGAGGGUAACGGAAUUCCCCGGUGUAGUGGUGGGAAUGCGUAGAUAUCGGGAGGAACACCAGUGGCGAAGGCGGUUGCCUGGAGCUUGCUGACGCUGAGGCGCGAAAGCGUGGGGAGCGAUCCGG